UAGUCCUUAUGUACUAUUAUUAGCAGUAGUGUGCCAAAUCAGGCCAUAGUUUGUUUUCACUUCUUCUCAUCUUUGGGGGGCUUAAAAGUUGUAUAUGUGAUGUUUUACAAAUGGUUAUGCCUUCAACUAUACAUCUUUAAGGCUUCGACAAUUGCAUUGCUCUCAUUAACCAUUUAAGAAUUUGUGGUGUUCCAUCAUAGAAAUAUUCUAUCAGUUCUGCAGUAGAAUCAUGUUGGCUGCGAGCAAGCUUAGUGUUCCCACUUCUCACUCUCUAUAGUAAAUAGAUGACAUCAAUUUCAGUUGAUAUGUUAAUUAUUAAUUUAUAAACCGUAACGGUGUAGCUAUAGUGAUAUACUAAGUUUCAAUGCUCACCCUAUUCUGUACUUAAACUUAUGGAUGUCUGAAAGCAACAGUUUCUAUCAUAAGUUUGUUUCUCUCACCAGCUCUUUGUAUCAUAGUAAUACUUUCAGAUGUUUCCCAUGUUUUGUGUCAAAGGUAAAAAUCGGUUGUCAAGAAUGUGAGGCAUGGGAUCUACAAUUGCUGAUUUCGGUUAGAUUGUCUUAUAUAAGCCAGAAUUUGCACCAUGGCUGAAAUCAGCUGCAUAGUUGGGCAUCUCUAACAUGGUGAGCAAAUCAAUUUUCCAAUAAGAGAUUGGUUAGCUGCUCAACCACUAUUGAAUGAUUGCUUCACCGGCUACCUGACUACCUUAUUCCUCCAACUAGGGUUUGAUUUUGGACGAUCAAAGUGCAUACAUGGCAGGAUCCAAUUGGUUGGGAUUCAUUUUGCACAUUACUACUUUCAUGCUCGGGUUUUUUCACAUCAUGGUGUCACCACGAUUAUACUCAGCAAUCUGUUAUUUAUGUUGUCUCCUGGUCAAUUUUGUAUAUAUACAUGUUGUUUCCCUGAUUAAAAGUGUUACGUAUGUGCUAAAUCAUAUUUUUAGAGAACUAAUAUCAUAUUACGGAGCAUUUGUUUGUUUGUUUUUUAGGAUCCUGGAGCAUCGAUCAUGCUCUGCCUCACCACAUCAUACCUCUCACCACUGAGGAUGGCAUAAAAGAUAGAGCCAUUCUUGAGUCGGCGCCUGUGUGCAUGCAGCGCUGCCACCUCAUGUAGUUGCUUCAAGACAACAGCGUGUCCCGCCCCGAGUGGCACGCAUGGCUGACGGCCGAGAUGGCACCGGUGUAGGAGCUUCUGUAGGAGGAGAAGUCAGGAGCUCGGACCAUCAGUGUGGCCUGAUGCCUCUCUUGGAUGUAGUCUGUAGGUAACAACAGCUAAACUCUUAUGAGGACAAAAUCUAUCCGAUGGAACUUCUUUAAGCUCAACAACCAGGUAUGCAAAGUGGCCCUUUUCCUCUGCCCAGCUCCAAUCUUGAAAUAUCCAUCUUCCUCUCGGAGCUGCACAUGAUUUUUAGGUAAUGCAUACUGAAAAAUAGCUGAAGGAACAGUAGCUGAUGCCGAUUGUAUAGCCUUUUCUUAUAAGACAAGUUAUAUGAAAAUCCGUAUUUGCCGCAAUCGAUUCUUAUAAAUUGUGAUACUGCAAGUGAUACUUAUUAUUGUUGGAUGCAAUUUCUGAACAAUAUGAGCAGGCAAUGCCCUAGAAACAAGAUGUUGAAGAAAAUCAAUUGGCUGAAGAACUACUGAUCGGUAGUAGUGUUGGGUUAUCUGGGAAUAAUACAGUAGCAGCCAUGGUGUCAAAGUUUCUUAAAGUAAGAACGGAUCCAUGUGAUCUAUUCUUUUUAUUGAUAUAUUAACUAACUAUAUAUGUCGGAACUUAUCUGAUGUUGAUACUUACAUGUGGAAUAUUUCUGAAGCAGCAUUGUCCUUUACUUAGUAUUUAAAUUUAGUGUAAAUUACGUGCAGCACAGCCUGUGUCGUUCGGAUAUCUAUAUUAUUCAGAAAUAGCAUAAUAUUUAAUAGUGUA